rnacentral:tmRNA from 1 species
GGGGGCGAUUUUGGUUUCGACAUUGCUGUUGAGAUCAAAGGUGCAUGUCGAGCUACGCAAAAAAGCUCGUAAAAUAAACAUUGCAAAUUUAGUUGCAAACGAUAGCAACUUUGCUGGUAACGAAUUGGCAGUAGCUGCGUAAAAACAGCGAGACCGGUUUAGCCGCCUAAAAAACGGCAACAGCCUAUCCCCAGAUUUUCUUGUUGGUUUGGGUCGGUAGUCAGAAAGACAAGAUCGUGAUGACGGCAUGGCUCGUGUCGGCAUUACUAAAACACCGAGCUCGCCGUUAAAUAAUCCUGACUGCUGGAGUGUUGACGGUUAAAUCAAAACGCAGCUCUAAACAUGUAGAGCCGAUGAUUGAUCAUCAGUGGACGCGGGUUCGAUCCCCGCCGCCUCCAUUU